GGGUGGGACUGAGCCUGCCACAGGUGAUGCUGACCUCCUGACCAGCAGACCAGCCUAGGAACCACGAGGGCAACAGGCACUAAUGCACUAACCAGCAGCACCGGGGAGAUGAAGUGAACCUCGGACAGGACACAGGGACGUCUGCGAAGGCUCCAUUC